rnacentral:rRNA from 1 species
AUGGCUCAGAUUGAACGCUGGCGGCGUGCUUAACACAUGCAAGUCGCGCGUGAAAGGACUUCGGUCCGAGUAAAGCGGCGCACGGGUGAGUAACGCGUGGAUGAUCUACCCAUGAGUUAGGAAUAACGGCUGGAAACGGUCGCUAAUACCAAAUACGCUCCGAUUUCAACUUCGGGGGAAAGGUGGCCUCUGCUUGCAAGCUACUGCUCAUGGAUGAGUCCGCGUCCCAUUAGCUAGUUGGUGGGGUAACGGCCCACCAAGGCGACGAUGGGUAGCCGGUCUGAGAGGAUGACCGGCCACACUGGGACUGGAACACGGCCCAGACUCCUACGGGAGGCAGCAGUGGGGAAUAUUGCGCAAUGGGCGAAAGCCUGACGCAGCGACGCCGCGUGAGGGGAAUGAAGGUCCUCGGAUCGUAAACCUCUGUCAGGAGGGAAGAACCGCCACGGUGCUAAUCAGCCGUGGUCUGACGGUACCUCCAAAGGAAGCACCGGCUAACUCCGUGCCAGCCGCCGC